CCUACGGGAGGCUGCAGUGAGGAAUAUUGGUCAAUGGACGCAAGUCUGAACCAGCCAUGCCGCGUGCAGGAAGACGGCUCUAUGAGUUGUAAACUGCUUUUGUACGAGGGUAAACGCAGAUACGCGUAUCUGUCUGCAAGUAUCGUACGAAUAAGGAUCGGCUAACUCCGUGCCAGCAGCCGCGGUAAUACGGAGGAUUCAAGCGUUAUCCGGAUUUAUUGGGUUUAAAGGGUGCGUAGGCGGUCGGAUAAGUUAGAGGUGAAAUCCCGAGGCUCAACUCCGGAAUUGCCUCUGAUACUGGUCGGCUAGAGAGUAGUUGCGGUAGGCGGAAUGUAUGGUGUAGCGGUGAAAUGCUUAGAGAUCAUACAGAACACCGAUUGCGAAGGCAGCUUACCAAGCUACAUCUGACGUUGAGGCACGAAAGCGUGGGGAGCAAACAGGAUUAGAUACCCGGGUAGUC
rnacentral:rRNA from 1 species